UGCAUGGUGAGGCUGCAACGUCGCAGCCGUUCUCCAGGGUCCGACGUGGGGAAGAAGACGGCGGCGGGGAGGCCCGAACCGCCGAGGUCCAAACGGAAACCCAACGCCGACAGCAGGGAUCGCCACCCGGGAACACCGCCGACCUUUUAACACGAGCGCAGCAGACAAGUGAAGGUGGAGAAGGACCCUCAGGGCGUCCCUGGCCCUGUCGGCGUGCCGGAGGACCUCCGCCAAGGCCUGUCGCGCCACGGACUCGGGGCCGCUCACCUUCACGUCGCCGCCGAUCAGAAGGGCUGCUGUUUCAGCACCCUGAGUCCAGCCCGUGUGUGUGAGUGCUUUGCAGGGUUGGCGUGUUGGAGUCUAGCAGCUGCACCUUGUCAUCCUCAUUACGUCUGACUGCUCUUAAGACGCUGUGGGAGUCCAACUUGUCGCCAGACUAUCAACGCUCUACGUCAAUCUGCCAUCUGCCCUUGCUCCCUGCAAACCAGUGCUCACCUCUUGCGGCCCACCGACGACCAGGACUCCUACCCUGCCAGACCCAAUCUAAAUCCCGGAUUUAGUUCUCAGAGUUCCUUUGUUCGCUUCCGAGCUGCAAUAAACUUUUGUUCACAAACUCACCUCCCUGUCCUCUCUCCAUCUCGGUCCAACUCGCAACCUGAAUCCUGACACAAAACAAUCAAAGCCCCGGUGGACCCUUGCGAUACAUCUGUUCAACAACUUGACUCAUCCAAUGCUGCAAACUCUUAGGGGAGCCCCUGCGUGCACUCAGUUACUAAAACUAAUGCUUUGGGCUCCUAAGGUAGAUAAUAGACACCGUCACCACUACGACGAACAGCACUCGGGCACUGCCAAGGAGAAGGAUGGAAGUUGGAGG